AGUCAUCUGUCGAGUCGAUCAGCGGUGUUCUGCAGGACCAGAAAUCUAAUGUCCACCAAGCGCGCAAAAAAACAAGCGGUGGCAUUUUUUGUAAAUGGGCUUCCAAGUGAUUACGGACUACAAAUGAAUGUCAGUCAGUGAUGUCUCGAUUGAUUUUGGUAACUUUUAACUAACGCCCUGUUUUGUACCAUACUCGAUUUCAACCAGAGAUUAGCUGGAGUGCCCGUCUCUUACUUUCAAUCUGCAGCAGUUUGUCUUUGCGAACUUAUAGGACUUCUUAUUUUUAUUCUUUGAAUUUGACUUGAAAUGGGAUUGAAUUGUAUUAGUUUAACUUACUGCUGGGGUUGGAUGGUGUCAGAUUCAUGUUCGUGGUAACAGUUGAUUCUUUCGUUAAUCGAUGCUAUUUGUGAACUAGUGCCUGGAGGCUGGUGUGUAUUACGUUUGAUCUUUGUGCACCAGCUGAUUGUGGAAGCAUGGCUAUGAGUCUUAGAGCAAUUUUAUUUUCCUAAUUGUUCAUUGAACUUGCUCACACAAGCAAAAGGGUAGCCAUCAAGGUGCUGAAAGUUGAAAAUGAAGGUUGAAACGCACACAUUUCUGCUCGCCAUUGGUUUUCUCCCGGUUUUUUGAAUUAACUGGGCGAUUCUCUUCUUAAUUAAUUUGAUUGAUGGGGCAACACUUUCGCCUCCGUUUAGGAGAAGAAAAUUCUGCUCAUCGUGUCAUCAUCCUAUACCAUGCUUCUGGCCUGUGCACGUCAUGCCUGUACUUGUCUAGUGAUAGUCUUGAUGGAAUGAUGGGGACCCUUGACUGCCAAUGUCGAAUCAAUGCUUCAGCCCAUGAGCCAUGUCUAUGAGGCUGCCGACUAGGAAGGAGUGGAAAUCGACACAGUAGUUAGUUUUGGGGACAGGGAUUGAUGUAAAGGGGAUCGUAAGGGCAACUCCAAACGGGAGUCGCCAAAUGUCUCAACCAGCGUGUUCGGACAUUUUUUGCCAUCCACCGGCAGUCAUCAAAUAUCUGUAAACUAACCCGAACGUUUGAAAUCACACAAACAGCCCCCAAACUUAUAGGUGGCUGUGCCUAAGACCAACGACAAAGCGCUCUGAACUUAGGGAAGGAUUGGGGGAGUCCGGACACACGAACUCAGCCUUGAACCCAUCAUAAAUUCAUUUUGUAUCUUUCUUUUCUCUGAUCUUUGCAUUGGACAAGGGACGGGUAUUUGUAAAUGCUAACCUGGACGUUUGAAAUCCCACCAACAGCCCCCAAACUUAGAGGAGGUUUGGGGGAGUUCGAACACGCUAACCCGGCCUUGGACCAACCACAAAUCGCCCCUAAACUUAGGGGAGGGUUGAGGGAGUCCAGACACACAAACUCAACCUUGACCCCAUCAUAAAUUAAUCGUUUGUCUUUCUUUUCUAUGAUCUCUACAUUGGACAAGGGGCGGAUAUUUGUUGGAUGGCCGGCGCCCUGGAGUGCCAAUGUCGACUUCAAUCCAUGAGGCUGCCGACUACGUAGGAAGGAGUGGAGAUCGACAUGGUACUUAGUUUGGGGGGAAUGCAUUGAUGGCAAAGGGGAUUGUAAGGGCAACUCGAAACGGGAGUCAUCAAAUCGUCAAAUGUCUGAACAGGCGUGUUCAGGCAUUUUUUUGCCAUCCACCGGCAAUCAUCAAAUAUCUGUAAACUAGCUUGGACAUUUGAAAUCCCACAAAUAGCUCCCAAACUUAAGAGGAGGUUUGGGGGAGUCCGAACACGCUAACUCAGCCUCAGACCAACCACAAAACGCCCCGAACUUAUGGAAGGGUCGGGGGAGUCCGAACACACGAACUCAGCCUUGAAUCCAUCAUAAACUCAUUUUCCAUCUUUCUUUUCUGUGAUCUCUGCAUCGGACAAGGGACGGAUAUUUGUUGGAAGGCCGGCACCACCAUCACUGUCCGCAAACACAUCCGGACAUUCGAGGAGGUUCGUUUUGGUGACCUCCCUUGGAGAAAAAGUACGUUCCAAACAAUAUUCUACAUCUAGAACCGCCCCACUGUCAAAAACUGGUGCAAUAAUAAGAAUCAUAUCGCGGCUACGCGUCCUCCGAAUGCCGGCACGAAUUCGAAUCAAGAUCUAGGGUGAAAACGGGGAUAAGAUUCCACGAUCUCCACACUGACUAGUCGGCGCAUUAUCUCGCUCACACUUGGCCAAUAAAAAUGCACCCACCACCCCUGAAAUUCCAUCUAUCUACCAGUCAAGAAACAAAACCCUGGUUGCAUCGACCACCAGUCACAAGAAAUUCAGGAGCACUUGAGAUGAACCAAGAUUCGACAGCGAAAAAAAUAAACCGAAACGAUUUCACAUUAUUAUCAUUGCAAUUAUCAUCCAUGAACAAUAGAGGAAUCAACAACAUCUUCUGACCAAAAACAAGGCCAUGGUGUAAAUCCUCUCACAAAUCAUGUUGAAGGAAGAAUUAGAAUUAAAACAUAUUUGGGGACCUGGAACUAUAGCAUGCCCGGGUAACCAUUUAUACCCCGUCAGUACAUCAAGUAUCCAUGUCAUCACAACAAUAAACAAAAUAAACAGCAACCACCAAGGUAAAAAAAGAGGAAAGAAUUCUGGCAUGGCACAUGAGCCUUCUUCUUUUAAAAUUUAAUAUAACAGGGUUAAUUAACAGAAUAGACAACUAAAUCUUUUCUGGCUGAUGAGAUGAACUGAAGCUGCCGGGGUGCGAUUCUCUCUACCUCCGUUCGGCCCCAAACUGAGGUAGGUAACUCCACUCUUUAAUUUAACCUCCUACUGGAAAUGGAAACUCAAUAGUUGUGUAUUGAUUUACCUCCCAAAAAUUAACGAAAACCAAUCCCUGAAUCACCGCCUUCAGCUAUCCAUCCAUCCUUUUCGCUUGCUUGCUUGCUUGCUGACUGACCACCGCAAUGAACAGAAAAUCAAAAAAAUACUUGCAAUUCUUCUUUAGCUAACAAUGGUAACUUCUUCUCGCACCUCCCCCCCGGGCUCGUCUGGUUGUUCGUCUAUGUUGCUGCUAGACUACCAAUCUGCUCGUCAAGCUGCAUCUGCUCGAGCAGCGCUCCAAUAACCGCGGCUUGGUCAUGUCGGUUCAGCUGCGUGCUCACACUGGGGCCUUCACCAUUACUUACACCGGGAUGCAUUUGAGGUGAAGGUCUAACAGAGUUGUUGAUGGAUUCAGCUGUGGUCACUUGCUUCUCUGGUGGAGACUCCUUGACCAGUGUGUGCACCCAGGAGAGAUCUGGGUCGUCGCCGCCUGAUCUCAGCUCAAAGGAAGAUGACCGGCGAAGCUUACCCAAUUCUUCACCGUUGACGCCCCAAUCCGGUGCCCCUGAAGGAGAUCCCCACUUGGACCAUGAUGAGCUCAGAGGAGAGCCAACAGCAGCCGAUGCUCUUGCAGCACUGGGCCCGAGAUCGCGAGAACUGAGGCUCCUCAUUGUCUGCUGGUGCUGUUGGUGCUGCUGCUGCUGUUGCUUCUCACGCUGGGCAAGGGCGGCAGCUAGGUGGGAGUUCAUCGGUGACCCAGAUUCGACGCAGCGGGGGGACAUCCGGCCAGGGGAGGAUAUCCCAAGUGAUGCUUGCAGGAGGGAUGAGCGUGAAUGCAUCUGCUGGUUAUCCACAGCCUUUGGCGAGAACCCUGUGUUGAUUGGUGAAAGAAGUUGCUGCUGUUGCUGGAACUGGUUAAGGAUAGCAGCCUUCUGGGAAGGUGAAAACAUAGCACCCUGAUCAGCAUUGUUGUACCUCGGGGACGAGACCAUCUCGGCAGAGAAGAGAUCAUCCAGGUUUGAAGGGUUCAGACUCUUGGUCCGAGAACUGUGGUUCCCUCCUGCUGAUGAACCAAGACGCGAGUAGCACAGAUCGUUUAUAAGCUGGGAAUCAAUAUCCUGCAACAGGGAGUAGUCAUCCACAGGCAUAUCCCUUGCAUUGAGUGAGCUUCGGAGUCUGCUCGACUGAAGGCUGCUGCCCGGAAGGUGUAGCGUCGGAACAUUUGGCUGCUGCCAGCCCAGAGAAGGGGGCAUCCCAUUGCCAGAAGGAGACCUCGGUGGGGUAAAUGGGGACAUGACUACCGAGACCGAUGACGGAGAACCGGGCAUCAAGCCCAUUGCUGCUGCCAUCUCCAUUGCAGCUGUUGCUGAGGCCCUAGGGGAUGGCACCGCAGACCCAGUGGAGACAUACAGCGGGCGGAGCUCAUCGGUGGUGUGCGCAAAGAAACAGACGCGGCGAUUGCAGCCGGUGCCAUCCUUGCAAAGGCGAGUGCGGUAUUGCGCUGGGUGGAGCCAGCACUCAAACACCCCAUGAGCAUACUCACACAUGUCUCCACGCCGGCACACACCCUUUCUGAAGUCAGGGCAUGGAACACAACUGUAGUGAUACUUGCGCGGAUCGCGGCGCCGAGCGUUCUCCCCAGGGUGCACAAAGGGGCACUCGGUCCAGUCAUGCGAGUAUGCCCGGGAGCACGGCCUGAUCUUGAAGGAGUACAUGCGGAACUCAUCAGAGGCAUAGAUGCUGUUCUUGAUAUCCGGCAGGGAUGGAUCCACUGGGUAUUCCUUCUUCUCUGAGGUUGCAACCCUCGGCAGGUCUGGGAACUUUGACAUCAUCAUCACAGCAGCUGAUGGAGACCGGGCGUCCUCGGCGGUGGGUGAUGACACCGGCGACGAGGUCAGGUUUGUGGCCCUGGUCACCACCCGGAGCACGCCAUGCCCAGACUUUGGGAGCCCAAGCAGAUCUUGGAGGGCGAUCUUCGCAUCAAUCAUCUUUGGCGGCACAGAGAUCACAUCGGCCGGACGGCACCCGGACGCAUCUGCGGCAUCGGCGUCAGCCCCGGCCACCAGAAGCAGCCUGACGGCCUCGACGGCCGAGGACGAGCCGCCAGAGGCGGCGCAGUGGAGGGCGGUGGUGCCGUCGGGGCCGCAGCGGCGGUUGACGUCGACGGAGGGGACGGACAGCAGCAGGCGGAGCGCGGCGAGGCUGCCGUAGGUGGCGGCGACCAUGAGCGGGGUGCGCUGCUCGAGGGCCUUCCGGCGGCCGUACCAGAGGCCGGCCUCGUCCGCGGCGGCGGGGGGCGCGCGCUCCAGCGCGCGGCGCAGGCCGUCCGCGUCGUCGUCGGCGGCGAGCUCGAGGAGGCCGGCGAAGGCGUCGUCCGUGUCGACGGUGAGGUGCCUGGCCAUCUCGGCGACCGCAUUCUUCUUGGGCGUCGUCGCGGCGUCGGCGCCGGCCGCCGCGGGGAUCGGCGCGCCGUUCAUCUUCUUGGCUCGCCGGAUCGAAGCGACUGAACCAAAAAAACAUGAGUCAAGAAGCCAGUCAAGCGAGGUCCGAAAUAGCACGGCGAGAUGGACUGGAAACCUGCCGAAUCGGACGCGAAAUACAACGGGAAAGGGAGGAAAAACCGAGGCUACAAAAAUGGAAGCGCGGCGACCGAAUCCACGGAAAGAUCUCCGGGGAAGCAAAAACCAAUCUUUGGCUAGAUCAGGAGCCCGUCAAAGCUCGGGCCCUCGGCCGGAGCCGCCACCCGGCAGAUCGGAGCGAGGAGAGGGGGACGGAGCGGAGCCUGACCUGUGCACGGCGGCAGCUUGUGGCGCGGCGGACCAUGUCAGUAGCACGCCAUGGGCGACGUCGCCGGCGGAAAGAUCCCGGAAAUCUCCACGGAGAGCCGAAUCUGGGGAGAGCGGGAGGGCGUGGUGGUGGGUGGAAGCGGCCGGCCGGCGCGGUGUUCAGGGCAAAGAUUUGGGGGCGAUCUAUCUACUAUCCCCUAUCCGGUUCGCGAUUGAUGGGGGAAGAAGAAGCGGAAGCAUGGGGUGUGUGCGGGGAGGAGAGAGAGAGANNNNNNNNNNNNNNNNNNNNNNNNNNNNNNNNNNNNNNNNNNNNNNNNNNNNNNNNNNNNNNNNNNNNNNNNNNNNNNNNNNNNNNNNNNNNNNNNNNNNNNNNNNNNNNNNNNNNNNNNNNNNNNNNNNNNNNNNNNNNNNNNNNNNNNNNNNNNNNNNNNNNNNNNNNNNNNNNNNNNNNNNNNNNNNNNNNNNNNNNNNNNNNNNNNNNNNNNNNNNNNNNNNNNNNNNNNNNNNNNNNNNNNNNNNNNNNNNNNNNNNNNNNNNNNNNNNNNNNNNNNNNNNNNNNNNNNNNNNNNNNNNNNNNNNNNNNNNNNNNNNNNNNNNNNNNNNNNNNNNNNNNNNNNNNNNNNNNNNNNNNNNNNNNNNNNNNNNNNNNNNAAAUGGAUAAUUUGGUUGUGCUGCCUAGUGUUGAGUGUGUGCACAAGUAGUAGUUGCUUGGUUUAGCAAAAACACAUAUCAUGUCUUAGCUAAAACAUCAUUUGCUUUGUUUAUGAUUUGGUCUGUGUAGCUCUAUGCUAAGCUUAUUACUCAUUUUGAAAUAAGACUUUGGGAAACUCUGACAUAAGUACUCGGUAACAAUAACAUAAGGCAAUAUAUGGCGCGCCAGGCGUGGCCCUAUGCGGAAUUCUUUCCUUUAAUGUAGACUCGCCAAAAUGAUGUGUAUGCCUGCCUCCCACAAUUUGACAGCUCUAUAGUAUGUCGUGUGCCUGAAGGCGCAAAGCAAAACAAAACUUGCAAUAGCUUUCUCUGUGACAUGAUUACAGCAAGAAUCAUGCGACCGGCGCCAUCCCAGGCGACCCCCACGUUUCCAUAACCGGCGCCAUCCCACACGUACGGCACGGCAGCGCGAGUGCGGGCGGUGCGGUGCGGGGCGUCCCUGUCUGUCGCGUCGCGCCUUCCUUCUCGAAACUCACGUCGCCCCGCUUGUCGGCACCGCACCGUCUCGUCGGCUUGCGCUGCGCCGCGACGCCUUUUCCACCGGACGUCCACGUCCACGUCCGUGUCCCCUGUGACAAUGGGCGUGACGUCGCGCCAGGGGCGAGCGAGCGACUCGUUCGGUUGGUGCGUGGCGGCACCCGGGGACAAGGAGGAGCCGACCGAGCUCUCUUCCGGCCGCGGACCGGCGCGCCCGGCAGCCGGGGAAAAAAAUUAUAUGAGACCAGGUCUCAUGGUUAGUAGGUGAGACCCGUCCUGAUGGAUGAUACGUGGUUAGCAGGUGAGACCCGUCGUAUGGAAAAGCAUCUAAUCUCUUUUCCCCCUAUUUUAAAUGGGGGAAUGGGGGAUGCUUUGUGGUUUUGUGAAUGGUACGUGUCAACCAUCAGAAUGGGCCUCGCGUGAGACCUGGUCUCAUAGAAUUCUUUUCCGGCAGCCGGUGGCGAUGUUUCGAGCCACGGUGCCGGAGCAUGCAGCGGCAGUGGCGACUGACGGACCUGUUUCCAGCCAUUGUCGAGGGACCGUGAGGCCUUAUACAAUGCUAGGUGAUUAGAGAGAUGCUUAAAAAAAUAAACCAGGUUUUCUAAAGCAUCGGUGCCUAUUUCUACACGAGAGACGCCUAAUUAAGCGUCUACCCUGUGUAAAUAAGCACCGGUGCUUAAGAAAAGCCUGAUUUAUUUUUUCAAACGUCUUUUCUAAACACCUUUGCAUUGUACAAGGCCUAAGGCCAACUCCACCGCACAACCCCAAACAAACGUUCGAUUUGGCCGAAUUUUGUUUCUUUGUGGCAAUAAUGGAUUCGCCCAUGUCCGUGUCUGUUCGUUGGAUCGUGGGUGCGUCCAAGCGUGGCCGCACCCCAAAUCAUGUAUGUGUUGGACGUGAUUAAAAAACAGAAAAACUAAAAUAAAAUGAUUAAGAAAAGUAAAUAAACGCAGUUAAAAAAACUUAAAACAUAAGUUCGGGUUCACGGCCACAAAACGGCCCAGUUUCACGGUUCACAUUGCCAUAAUUAACAUAAAAAAUAAAAUAAGAACGGCCGCCGCCCGCGCGCUCCUGCCGUGCCUGUCAAUGCCGUCGCCGUUGCUGUCUUUAGUGGCCACCGGUGUCGUCAUCGUCGCUGACGAGGCCGAGCUACUUAGGCGGCGUCCAGAGGUGGGCCGGCGGAGCGUGGUGGACGGGGGUGGGCUGGAAGGCGGGAGGUGCCUGCACCACCUCCUCCCGUGGCGACGCGUCCCGCUCCGGUGACCGCGGCGGCGUGGGGCACCAGUUCGCGACCCCACGGCGUCGGCCAUCUCCGGAGCCAAGCACAACCAGCUCCAGUGCUGCCCAACCAGGGCCGGGUGGAACGCGGUCACCAACUCCUCCUCCGCCCUCGCCAUAUCCAGCACGGGGAUGGCGACGUCGCCGACCGCAGAUAGGGCCAUCGUCUCCUCGAGGCCCGGCCAUUGGCGCUCAUCGUGCGUGUUCAUGGAGUCCUCCGUGACACAUUGCAUGAGCCGGGCCUCCUCCUCCGCAGUCAUGCGAGGAGGUGAAGGUGGCGACGAAGAUGGGGACGGCGACGGCGUGGGCGUGAGGCCGCGCACCCGCGUACGCCCGCGCACCUCCCGAUGUGGCCGCCGCGGCCCCGACAUCGUGUCGUCGAAGUAGGAAGCGCGCCGCACGUCGUGCUCGUCCUGAAGCCACGUUUCCCAGAGCCCGGAGUCGGGGGCGUACCUUUCGUCGUAGUAGAGGUCGUCGGGGAGGAGACGGCGUCGGUGCGUGAUCUCAUCGUGGCGCGCACGCCCGCUCAUCGGUGCCGGCGGGAUUGGGACCCGGUCGGCGGAGAGGUGCCAGUUGUUGGGCAGGUGGACGUCGCUCCACAUGACCGGCGUCCGCGUCUCCCAAUAACGUCGGCAUACGUCCAUGCCCAGCUACUGCCGGUCGCGCUCGCCGGCGGCCCUAGGGGCGAUGCUGAACGGGGCAGGCGCGGGGGCCCUACGCGGCGGCGAAGCGACUUCCUCUUUCACGGAGCCGCGGCGGCACCCCGAGGAGGAGCUGGCCUCGCAGUCGUGCUUCCUUUUGCGGCCGUGGUUCCAGAACCCCAUGGCUGCGAGGCGGCCGGCCGACGAGCUCGAGGACGGGGAGAGGCUAGGAUUUUAGGGGUGACGGGUUUCGAGGAGGCAGCUGGCUGGAAGUGGAAGUGUAGACGACGACGACCGGUCCACGGCCUCCCCAUUUAAGAAGGACGAUGACUGUGCGCCUGGGCGGAUGACAGGUAGGGCCGAUCACGCAUGCGCAUUGAUGUGGGAGGGUGGGAGGUAGGUGGUCGUCUGUCACGCAGCCCCGUCGCGGACGAGCAUCGCGUCCGUUUGCUGUCCGCCGUGACCCAAACUGGACGCAUGUUUGCGCUCAAAAUGGGUCGGCGCGGACACAAAACGGAUCAGAUGGGUCCAGGCCGUCACGCGCUAGGCCGUCUGAUUUGUCCCUUUUACCCCAAACGGACGGGACCGAACGGGAUGGCGUCGCGCGGUGGAAUUGGCCUAAGAGCAUCUCCAGCCGCGCCCCAAGAAGGCCCCCCGGGCGAUUUUUCGGCCGCCGGCGAUGAAAAAUCGGCCCAUUCGUGCCCCCAAAGGCCCUUUUUUCGCCGGCUCGGGUCGAAAUUGACGCUGGCCGACCCAGGCCGAACCCGACGCGCUGGGGGACGCCAGCCGAAACAUUUUUGGCGCAAAAAUCGGUGGACCCUCCUUGGCAGCGACUCGGCUCUUCUCGCCGCUUCGUCGCCCUCAUCGCCUCGGUCCCCGUGGCGGAAUUGAUGCCAAAGCUGCCGAGCCGGUCAGCCUCCUCCAUUGAUGCCUCACAGGCGGCGCAGUGAAGACGGGACGACGCGUGUCCCUCGCCCGCCACGCGUACGCGCGGCGCAUACGCCUACGUAGGUGACUGGUUCGUUGGUGCGUGGCCGUGGCGGCACCCGAGGACAAGCAGGAGCCGACCGAGCUCUCUUCCGGCCGCGGACCGGCGCGCGCCCGGCAGUUGGUGGCGAGGUUUCGAGCCAUCGUCAAGGGACCGUAACGCCGUAGUCUUCUCCACCUACGCCGGUGCAAAUUGCACUCGUGCGGUCUCGACCACUCCGUGCGACAGACUCACAGCGCAGACGCGUUCGGGUUAGCUGCACAUCAGGGCAUCUCCAACGUUUUUUUAAACACAGUACAGACACAAGCGCUCGUAUACACGCACGCACACUCACCCCUAUGAACGCACAGGGCAUCUCCAACGUUGAACCAUCAAAACGCCCGUAAAUGCUUAGGUCGGGCUGUGCCGUCCGAGCAUUUUUACGAUUUUGACAUGGAUCACCGAAUCGUGUCAGACCGUUCGGACGUCCGAAAUCUUGUAACGUAAGUCGGGUCUACAUCAAGGGUGCUCUUUCGAAGAAGUCAUCGUCUCUUCAUAGGAUUUUGUUGGUCGAAGUAUCGGUGCACGCGCCUGUUUCGUCCGGCUUUAUAUCGGCAUCACUCUUCACAAGUCUAUUAUUUUGAAGACUGGUUUUUCUUCUUCGAAAAGCCGGUCUCCGCAUCAGGGUAAUGCAUAAAUUUAUUUUAUUAAUUAUUCGUCAAGACCUUAUAAAGUUGGGUGUGCCUAGGUCUAAGUCAAGUCUCAGCCAAAUGACAUAGUAUAUAAUAAUAAGAAGAAAAAUAAAAUAAACAAUUGUAUGAAUCUCCAUGCAAGAUCAAGGGGGAUAUAGCAUCGACUGAGACAUAACGAAGACUCGGUCGACCGAGACUUAACAAAACUGCACAAAGUAAUACAUCAAUAAGUCUAAAGCCAACCGGGGAGCAGUUGGGGGCUCCGGCGCAAGGGAAAAGCAUGGCUGGCCCACGCCGUCAGGGGAAAAGUCAAGGUCUUCUUCCCCGAUUCGCCUCCCACCCCCCGUGCCCUCGGCCACCACUAGCUAUAUCCCGGCGCCGCCCGCCGCCCUUCACCGCUAGAUAGCCAUUCCCCGUCGGAAAAAUAGCAGCGCUUCGCAGCGGCAGCCCCUCCAACAGCAGCUGGGCGUUUCCGACCGCCGUUCCCGACCGCGAAGGAGAAGUUUAACGGCGGGUACACACCUACCGGGUGCAAGGUGUUCGAUGAUUUGCCUGCCUCGGUGAUGGACUCGGAUGACGAGGAAGCGCUCACCGCGCUGCUGGAGGAGGAAGCCGAGGCAGACGUUGCUACCUCUUGAGCACUGCGUUGGAUUUCCCCGAAUAGGAGAGGAUGAUGCAGCAAAGUAGCGUAAGUAUUUUCCUCAGUUUCUGAGAACCAAGGUAUCAAUCUAGUAGGAGGCCACGCACAAGUCCCUCGUACCUACACAAAAACAAUAGCUCAGCGCAACCAACGCGCUUAGGGGUUGUCAAUCCUUUCACAGUCACUUACGAAAGUGAGAUCUGAUAGAGAUGAUAAAUAAUAUUUUUGGUAUUUUUGAUAUAGAGAUGCAAAGUAAAAAGUAAAAGCAAAGCAAUAAUAAAGUGAUGGAGAUUGAUAUAAUGAGAAAGAGACCCAGGGGCCAUAGAUUCCACUAGUGGCUUCUCUCAAGAGCAUAAAUAUUCUACGGUGGGUGAACAAAUUACUCUUGAGCAAUUGACAGAAUUGAGCAUAGUUAUGAGAAUAUCUAGGUAUGAUCAUGUAUAUAGGCAUCACGUCCGAGACAAGUAGACCGAAACGAUGCUGCAUCUACUACUAUUACUCCACUCAUCGACCGCUAUCCAGCAUGCAUCUAGAGUAUUAAGUUAAAAACAGAGUAACGCCUUAAGCAAGAUGACAUGAUGUAGAGGGAUAGUUUCAUGCAAUAUGAUAAAAACCCCAUCUUGUUAUCCUCGAUGGCAACGAUACAAUAUGUGCCUUGCUGCCCCUUCUGUCACUGGGAAAGGACACCGCAAGAUCGAACCCAAAGCUAAGCACUUCUCCCAUGGCAAGAACAACCAAUCUGGUAGGCCAAACCAAACUGAUAAUUCGAAGAGACUUGCAAAGAUAACCAAUCAUACAUAAAAGAAUUCAGAGAAGAUUCAAAUAUUAUUCAUAGAUAGACUUGAUCAGAAACCCACAAUUCAUCAGUCUCAACAAACACAAUGCAAAAUGAAGAUUACAUCGAAUAGAUCUCCACGAGAGAGGGGGAGAACAUUGUAUUGAGAUCCAAAAAGAGAGAAGUAGCCAUCUAGCCACUAGCUAUGGACCCGUAGGUCUGAAGUAAACUACUCACACUUCAUCGGAGAGGCUUGGAUGAUGAUGUAGAAGCCCUCUGUGAUCGAUGCCCCCUCCGGCGGAGCUCCGGAACAGGCCCCAAGAUGGGAUCUCGUGGAUACAGAAAGUUGCGGCGGUGGAAUUAGGUUUUUGGCUCCGUAUCUGAUCGUUUGGGGGUACGUGGAUAUAUAUAGGAGGAAGAAGUACGUCGGUGGAGCUUCGAGGGGCCCACGAGGCAGGGGGCGCGCCCUCCACCCUCGUGACCGCCUCGUGGCUUUCUUGACGGAGGGUCCAAGUCUCCUGGAUCUUAUCUGAUGAGAAAAUCACGUUUCCGAAGGUUUCAUUCCGUUUGGACUCCGUUUGAUAUUCCUUUUCUUCGAAACCCUAAAACAGGCAAAAAACAGCAAUUCUGGGCUGGGCCUCCGGUUAAUAGGUUAGUUCCAAAAAUAAUAUAAAAGUGGAUAAUAAAGCCCAAUAUAGUCCAAAACAGUAGAUAAAUAUAGCAUGGAGCAAUCAAAAAUUAUAGAUACGUUGAAGACGUAUCAAGCAUCCCCAAGCUUAAUUCCUGCUCGUCCUCGAGUAGGUAAAUCAUAAAAACAGAAUUUUUGAUGCGGAGUGCUACUUGGCAUAAUUUCAAUGUAAAUCUUCCUAAUUGUGGUAUGAAUAUUCAGAUUCAAAAGAUUCAAGACAAAAGUUCAUGUUGACAUAAAAAUAAUAAUACUUCAAGCAUACUAACAAAGCAAUUAUGUCUUCUCAAAAUAACAUGGCCAAAGAAAGCUAUCCCUACAAAAUCAUAUAGUCUGGCUAUGCUCUAUCUUCACCACACAAGGUAUUUAAAUCAUGCACAACCCCGAUGACAAGCCAAGCAAUUGUUUCAUACUUUUGACAUUUUCAAAACUUUUUCGAUCUUCACGCAAUACAUGAGCGUGAGCCAUAGAUAUAGCACUAUAUGUGGAAUAGAAUGGUGGUUGUGGAGAAGACAAAAAGGGAGAAGAUAGUCUCACAUCAACUAGGCGUAUCAACGGGCUAUGGAGAUGCCCAUCAAUAGAUAUCAAUGUGAGUGAGUAGGGAUUGCCAUGGAACGGAUGCACUAGAGCUAUAAGUACAUGAAAGCUCAACGAAAGAAACUAAAAUGGGUGUGCAUCCAACUCGCUUGCUCACGAAGACCUAGGGCAUUUUGAGGAAGCCCAUCAUUGGAAUAUACAAGACAAGUUCUAUAAUGAAAAAUCCCACUAGUAUAUGAAAGUGACAGAAUGAGAGACUCUCUAUAAUGAAGAUCAAGGUGCUACUUUGAAGCACAAGUGUGGUAAAAGGAUAGUAACAUUGUCCUUUCUCUCUUUUUCUCUCAUUUUUUUAUUUGGGCUUUCUCCUUUUUUUAUGGUCUCUUUUUUCGUCUAGAGUCUCAUCCCGACUUGUGGGGGCAUCAUAGUCUCCAUCAUCCUUUCCUCACUUGGGACAAUGCUCUAAAAAUAAUGAUCAUCACACUUUUUAUUUUUCUUACAACUCAACAAUUACAACUGGAUACUUAGAACAAGAUAUGACUCUAUAUGAAUGCCUCCGAGGGUGUACCGGGAUAUGCAAUGAAUCAAGAGUGACAUGUAUGAAAGAAUUAUGAACGGUGGCUUUGCCACAAAUACGAUGUCAACUACAUGAUCAUGCUAGCAAUAUGACAAUGAUGGACCGUGUCAUAAUGAACGGAACGGUGGAAAGUUGCAUGGCAAUAUAUCUCGAAAUGGCUAUGGAAAUGCCAUGAUAGAUAGGUAUGGUGGCUGUUUUGAGGAAGGUAUUUGGUGGGUGUAUGAUACCGGCGAAAAGUGCGCGGUAUUAGAGAGGCUAGGAAAGGUGGAAGGAAGGAAAGUGCGUAUAAUCCAUGGACUCAACAUUAGUCAUAAAGACCUCAUAUACUUAUUGCAAAAAUCUAGAAGUUAUCAAAGCAAAGUAUCACGCGCAUGCUCCUAGGGGGAUAGAUUGGUAGGAAAAUACCAUCGCUCGUCCCCGACCGCCACUCAUAAGGAAGACAAUCAAUAAAUAAAUCAUGCUCCGACUUCAUCACAUAACGGUUCACCAUACGUGCAUGCUACGGGAAUCACAAACUUUAACACAAGCAUUUCUCAAAUUCACAACUACUCAACUAGCAUGACUCUAAUAUCACCAUCCUCAUAUCUCAAAACAAUUAUCAAGCAUCAAUUUUUUCUUAGUAUUCAACGCACUCAAAAGAAAGUUUUACAAAUCUUGAAUACCAAGCAUAUUAUUAUUAAACAAAUUACCAUGCUAUUAAUACUCUCAAAAUAAUCUAAGUGAAGCAUGAGAGAUCAAUAGUUUCUAUAAAACAAAUCCACCACCGUGCUCUAAAAGAUAUAAGUGAAGCACUAGAGCAAAGUUAUAAAGCUCAAAAGAUAUAAGUGAAGCACAUAGAGUAUUCUAUCAAAUUCCAAAUUAUUUAUGGAUCUCUCAAAAGGUGUGUACAACAAGGAUGAUUUUUGUAAACUAAUAAGCAAAGACUCAAAUCAUAAAAGAUGCUCCAAGCAAAACACAUAUCAUGUGGUGAAUAAAAAUAUAGCUCCAAGUAAAGUUACCGAUAGAAGUAGACGAAAGAGGGGAUGCCUUCCGGGGCAUCCCCAAGCUUUGGCUUUUAGGUGUCCUUAGAUUAUCGUGUGGGUGCCAUGGGCAUCCACAAGCUUAGACUCUUUCCACUCCUUGUUCCAUAGUCCAUCCAAUCUUUACCCAAAACUUGAAAACUUCACAACACAAAACUUAAAGUAGAAACUCGUGAGCUCCGUUAGCGAAAGAAAACAAAAGACCACUUCAAGGUACUGUAAUGAACUCAUUAUUUAUUUAUAUGGGUGUUAUACCUACUGUAUUCCAACUUGUCUAUGGAUUAUAAACUAUUUUAGUAGCCAUAGAUUCAUCAAAAUAAGCAAACAACACACGAAAAACAGAAUCUGUCAAAAACAGAACUGUUUGUAGUAAUCUGUAGCUAGCGCAAGAUCUGGAACCCCAAAAAUUCUAAAAUAAAUUGAUGGACGUGAGGAAUUUAUAUAUUAAUAAUCUCCAAAAAUAAUUAACUAAAUAUCACUCUUAAAAUAAAAAUGACAGCAGUUCUCGUGAGCGCUAAAGUUUCUGUUUUUUACAGCAAGUUCAACAAGACUUUCCCCAAGUCUUCCCAACGGUUCUACUUGGCACAAACACUAAUUAAACACAAAAAACACAACCAAAGCAGAGGAUAAAUAAUUUAUUUAUUAAUAAACAGGAGCAAAAAGCAAGGAAUAAAAAUAAAAUUGGGUUGCAUCCCAAUAAGCGUUAUCGUUUAACGCCCCUAGCUAGGCAUAACAAGCAAGAAUAGAUCUAGGUAUUGCCAUCUUUGGUAGGCAAUCCAUAAGUGGCUCUCAUAAUAGAUUCAUAUGGUAAUUUUAUUUUCUUUCUAGGGAAGUGUUCCAUGCCCUUUUUUAAUGAAAAUUGGAAUCUAAUAUUCCCUUCCUUCAUAUCAAUAAUUGCACCAACCGUUCUAAGGAAAGGUCUACCGGGAAUAAUAAGGCAAGAAGGAUUGCAAUCUAUAUCAAGAACGGUAAAAUCUACGGGCACAUAAUUCCUAUUUGCAACAAUAAGAACAUCAUUAAUUCUUCCCAUAGGUUUCUUAAUAGUGGAAUCCGCAAGAUGCAAGUUUAGAGAGCAAUCAUCAAAAUCACGGAAAUCUAGCAAAUCGCACAAAGUUUUGGGAAUAGUAGAGACACUAGCACCCAAAUCACACAAAGCAUAAAACUCAUAAUUUUUAAUUUUAAUUUUAAUAGUAGGUUCCCACUCAUCAUAAAGUUUUCUAGGGAUAGAAACUUCCAAUUCAAGUUUUUCUUCAUAAGAUUGCAUCAAGGCAUCAGCGAUAUGUUUAGUAAACGCUUUAUUUUGACUAUAAGCAUGAGGAGAUUUUAGCACGGAUUGCAACAAGGAAAUACAAUCAAUCAAAGAGCAAUUUUCAUAGUUAAAUUCCUUGAAAUCCAUAAUAGUGGGUUUAGCAAUAUCUAGGGUUUUAAUUUCUUCAAUCCCACUUUUAUCGAAUUUAGCAUCAAGAUCAACAAAUUCCGAAUUCUUAGAACGCCUUCUAGGUAAAGGUGGAUCAUAUUCAGUCCCAUCAUUAUCAAGAUUCAUAUUGCAAAACAAAUAUUUAAUAGGGGACACAUCAAUAACUUUUAGAUCUUCAUCAUUAUUUUCAUAGGAACUAGAAGAACACGCUUUUACAAAAGCAUCUUUCUUAGCACGCAUCCUAGCGGUUCUUUCUUUGCACCCGUCAAUGGAAAUUCUCAUGGCUUUGAGAGACUUAUUGAUAUCAUGCUUAGGUGGAAUAGAUCUAAGUUUCAAAGAAUCAACAUCAAGAGCAAUUCUAUCACCGUUCCUAGCCAAAUCAUCAAUCUUAAGCAAUUUUUCUUCAAUCAUAGCAUUAAAAUUCUUUUGCAAAGAAAUAAAUUAUUUAAUAUUAGAUUCAAAAUCAGACUGCAUCUUAUUAUAAUUUCCAUAAGAAUUGUUGUAGGAAUUACCAUAAUUAUUAGAGGGAUUACUAGGAUAAGGCCUAGGAUUGAAAUUUUCUCCAUACGCGUUGUUACCAAAAUUGUUCCUACCAACAAAAUUCACAUCCAUAGAUUUAUUAUUAUUCUCAAUAAAAGUAGACAAGGGCAUAUCAUUAGGAUCAGAAGAAACACUCCUAUUGGCAAAUAAUUUCAUAAGUUCAUCCAUCUUUCCACUCAAAACAUUAAUUUCUUCUAUCGCAUGCACCUUUUUAUUAGAUCUUUCAGUAUGCCAUUGAGAAUAAUUAACCAUAAUAUUAUCUAGGAUUUUAGUAGCUUCUCCUAAAGUGAUUUCCAUAAAAGUGCCUCCCGCGGCCGAAUCUAAAAGAUUUCUAGAAGCAAAAUUCAAUCCGGCAUAAAAAAUUUGUAUAAUCAUCCACAAAUUCAAACCAUGAGUAGGGCAAUUACGUAUCAUUAAUUUCAUUCUCUCCCAAGCUUGUGCAACAUGUUCAUGAUCAAGUUGUUUAAAAUUCAUAAUAUCAUUUCUAAGAGAGAUGAUCUUAGCGGGAGGAAAAUACUUAGAGAUAAAAGCAUCUUUGCACUUGUUCCAUGAAUCAAUACUAUUUUUAGGCAAAGAUGAAAACCAAGCUUUAGCACGAUCUCUAAGCAAAAAAGGAAAUAACUUCAAUUUAACAAUAUCAUUAUCGACAUCUUUCUUCUUUUGCAUGUCACACAAAUCAACGAAGCUAUUAAGAUGGGUAGCGGCAUCUUCACUAGGAAGGCCGGAGAACAGAUCUUUCAUGACAAGAUUCAACAAAGCAGUAUUAAUUUCACAAGAUUCAGCAUCGGUAAGAGGAGCAAUCAGAGUGCUAAGGAAAUCAUUAUUGUUGGUAUUGGUGAAGUCACACAAUUUAGUAUUAUCUUGAGCCAUCGCGACAAACAAGCAAUCCAACACACGAGCAAACAAAAAGCAAACGGGCAAAAGAGGCAAAUAGAGAGGGAGGAUAGAGAGAGAGGGGGCAAAUAAAAUGGCAAGGGUGAAUUGGGGGGAAAGGAAAACGAGAGGCAAAUGGCAAAUAAUGUAAUGCGGGAGAUAGGGAUUGUGAUGGGUACUUGGUAUGUUGACUUUUGCGCAGACUCCCCGACAACGGCGCCAGAAAUUCUUCUUGCUACCUCUUGAGCACUGCGUUGGAUUUCCCCGAAGAGGAGAGGAUGAUGCAUCAAAGUAGUGUAAGUAUUUCCCUCAGUUUUUUAGAACCAAGGUACCAAUCCAGUAGGAGGCCACGCACAAGUCUCUCAUACCUACACAAAAACAAUAGCUCAACACAACCAACGCGCUUAGGGGUUGUCAAUCCCUUCACAGUCACUUACGAAAGUGAGAUCUGAUAGAGAUGAUAAAUAAUAUUUUUGGUAUUUUUGGUAUAGAGAUGCAAAGUAAAAAGUAAAAGCAAAGAAAUAAUAAAGUGAUGGAGAUUGAUAUAAUGAGAAAGAGACCCGGGGGCCAUAGGUUUCACUAGUGGCUUCUCUCAAGAGCAUAAAUAUUCUACGGUGGGUGAACAAAUUACUGUUGAGCAAUUGACAGAAUUGAGCAUAGUUAUGAGAAUAUCUAGGUAUGAUUAUGUAUAUAGGCAUCACGUCCGAGACAAGUAGACCGAAACGAUUCUGCAUCUACUACUAUUACUCCACUCAUCGACCGCUAUCCAGCACACAUCUAGAGUAUUAAGUUAAAAACAGAGUAACGCCUUAAGUAAGAUGACAUGAUGUAGAGGGAUAGUUUCAUGCAAUAUGAUAAAACCCCAUCUUGUUAUCCUCGAUGGCAACGAUACAAUACGUGCCUUGCUGCCCCUUCUGUCACUGGGAAAGGACACCGCAAGAUCGAACCCAAAGCUAAGCACUUCUCUCAUGCCAAGAACAACCAAUCUAGUAGGCCAAACCAAACUGAUAAUUCGAAGAGACUUGCAAAGAUAACCAAUCAUACAUAAAAGAAUUCAGAGAAGAUUCAAAUAUUAUUCAUAGAUAGACUUGAUCAUAAACACACAAUUCAUUGGUCUCAACAAACACACCGCAAAAAGAAGAUUACAUCGAAUAGAUCUCCACGAGAGAGGGGGAGAACAUUGUAUUGAGAUCCAAAAAGAGAGAAGAAGCCAUCUAGCCACUAGCUAUGGACCCGUUGGUCUGAAGUAAACUACUCACACUUCAUCGGAGAGGCUUGGAAGAUGAUGUAGAAGCCCUCCGUGAUCAAUGCCCCCUCCGGCGGAGCUCCGGAAUAGGCCCCAAGAUGGGAUCUCGUGGAUACAGAAAGUUGCGGUGGUGGAAUUAGGUUUUUGGCUCCAUAUCUGAUCGUUUGGGGGUACGUGGAUAUAUAUAGGAGGAAGAAGUACGUCGGUGGAGCUUCGAGGGGCCACGAGGCAGGGGGCGCGCCCUAGGGGGGAGCCCUCCACCCUCGUGACCGCCUCGUGGCUUUCUUGAUGGAGGGUCCAAGUCUCCUGGAUCUUAUCUGAUGAGAAAAUCACGUUUCCAGAGGUUUCAUUCCGUUUGGAAUCCGUUUGAUAUUCCUUUUUCUUCGAAACCCUAAAACAGGCAAAAAAUAGCAAUUCUGGAUUGGGCCUCCGGUUAAUAGGUUAGUUCCAAAAAUAAUAUAAAAGUGGAUAAUAAAGCUCAAUAUAGUCCAAAACAGUAGAUAAUAUAGCAUGGAGCAAUAAAAAAUUAUAGAUACGUUGGAGACGUAUUAGACGUCCAGGAAGAAGAGCAUCUGAUGGUGCUCGCCGCCCUCGCCCAGCUGCUGGCGAGCAAUGAAAAGCCGCGGCAAGGUGGCUCGGCGCCUGGGCUGGUGAAAGCAAAGAACCGGCAUCGUCUCGAAGGCUACUACAUGCUCUACUCCGACUACUUCGCCGAUGCUCCACUUCACGGCGAGAAAACAUUUCGGCGCCGUUAUCGGAUGAGCCGAAAGCUCUUCCUCAGGAUUGUGAAUUCCAUCCGGGAGUUCGAUAACUACUUCAAGUGCAAGAUGGAUUGCACCGGCGCUCUUGGAUUCACCUCCAUCCAGAAGUGCACGACAGCGAUGAGGAUGCUUGCAUAUGGAGCUCCCGGUGAUUCACUCGAUGACUAUGGGCGCAUGGCCGAGUCCACCAGCAUAGAGUGUUUCUACAAGUUCUGUCGGGCAGUGGUGGCAGUGUUUGGACCACAAUACUUGAGAACACCCAAUGCGGAAGACACUGCUCGGAUCCUAGCACAAAAUGCAGCAAGAGGACUUCCUGGGAUGCUUGGAAGCAUCGACUGCAUGCAUUGGAAAUGGAAGAAUUGCCCAUUUGCUUGGCAGCGGAUGUACAAAGGCGCCAAAGGUGGUUGCAGUGUCGUGCUUGAGGCGGUGGCUGCACAGGACCUUUGGAUUUGGCACUCCUUCUUUGGUAUGCCAGGAACUCACAAUGACAUCAACGUGCUACAGUGCUCUCCUGUCUUUGCCAAGCUUGUUGAAGGUCAUUCUCCUCCGGUGAACUUCGAGAUCAAUGGGCAGCACUACAACAAGGGGUACUAUCUAGCUGAUGGCAUCUAUCCGAGAUGGUUGACAUUUGUGAAGACCAUCUCAAAUCUUGUGCCAGGAGGCAAGAACGCCUGGUUUGCGAAGAUUCAGGAGGCGCGCAGGAAGGAUGUCGAGCGGGCAUUUGGUGUGCUCCAAUCUCGAUUUGCUGUUGUCCGGUACCCCGCUCAGACGUGGUCCAAAGAUCAAAUGUGGGAGAUUAUGACUUGCUGUGUCAUCUUGCUCAACAUGAUCAUCGAGAGCGAGCAAGAAGACCCAGUGUUUGACACUGAACCAUACUACUGUUGGGGAACAUAGUAAUUUCAAAAAAAUUCCUACGCACACGCAAGAUCAUGGUGAUGCAUAGGAACGAGAGGGUAGAGUGUUGUCUACGUACCCUCGUAGACCGGAAGCGGAAGCAUUAGCACAACACGGUUGAUGUAGUCAUACGUCUUCACGGCCCGACCGAUCAAGCACCGAAACUAUGGCACCUCCGAGUUCUAGCACACGUUCAGCUCGAUGACGAUCCUCGGACUCCGAUCCAGCAAAGUGUCGGGGAAGAGUUCCGUCAGCAUGAAGGCGUGGUGACGAUCUUGAUGUUCUAUCGUCGCAGGGCUUCGCCUAAGCACCGCUACAAUAUUAUCGAGGAUUAUGGUGGAGGAGGGCACCGCACACGGCUAAUAGAUCUCAAUGAUCAAUUGUUGUGUCUUUGGGGUGCCCCCUGGCCACGUAUAUAAAGGAGUGGAGGAGGGGGGAGAGGGCCGGCCCCUAUGGCGCGCCUUGGAGGAGUCCUACUCCCACCGGGAGUAGGAUUCCCCCCUUUCCAAGUAGUAGGAGUAGGAGUCAAGGCAAGGGAAGAGAGAAGAGAAGGAAGGAGGGGGCGCAACCCCUCCCCCUAGUCCAAUUCGGACUAGGCCUUGGGGGGCGCCCAACCUCUCCUCUCUCUUUCCCCUAAAGCCCAAUAAGGCCCAUAUACUCCCCGGCGAAUUCCCGUAACUCUCCGGUACUCCAAAAAAUAUCCGAAUCACUCGGAACCUUUCCGAUGUCUGAAUAUAGUCGUUCAAUAUAUCGAUCUUUACGUCUCGACCAUUUCGAGACUCCUCGUCAUGUCCCCGAUCUCAUCCGGGACUCCGAACUCCUUCGGUACAUCAAAACUCAUAAACUCAUAAUAUAACUGUCAUCGAAACCUUAAGCAUGCGGACCCUACGGGUUCGAGAACAAUGUAGACAUGACCGAGACACGUCUCCGGUCAAUAACCAAUAGCGGAACCUGGAUGCUUAUAUUGGCUCCCACAUAUUCUACGAAGAUCUUUAUCGGUCAGACCGCAUAACAACAUGCGUUGUUCCCUUUGUCAUCGGUAUGUUACUUGCCCGAGAUUCGAUCGUCGGUAUCUCAAUACCUAGUUCAAUCUCGUUACCGGCAAGUCUCUUUACUCGUUCCGUAAUACAUCAUCCUGCAACUAACUCAUUAGUUGCAAUGCUUGCAAGGCUUAAGUGAUGUGCAUUACCGAGAGGGCCCAGAGAUACCUCUCCGACAAUCGGAGUGACAAAUCCUAAUCUCGAAAUAUGCCAACCCAACAAGUACCUUCGGAGACACCUGUAGAGCACCUUUAUAAUCACCCAGUUACGUUGUGACGUUUGGUGGCACACAAAGUGUUCCUCCGGUAAAUGGGAGUUGCAUAAUCUCAUAGUCAUAGGAACAUGUAUAAGUCAUGAAGAAAGCAAUAGCAACAAACUAAACGAUCAAGUGCUAUGCUAACAGAAUGGGUCAAGUCAAUCACAUCAUUCUCCUAAUGAUGUGAUCCCGUUAAUCAAAUGACAACUCAUGUCUAUGGUUAGGAAACAUAACCAUCUUUGAUAAACGAGCUAGUCAAGUAGAGGCAUACUAGUGACACUCUGUUUGUCUAUGUAUUCACACAUGUAUUAUGUUUCCGGUUAAUACAAUUCUAGCAUGAAUAAUAAACAUUUAUCAUGAUAUAAGGAAAUAAAUAAUAACUUUAUUAUUGCCUCUAGGGCAUAUUUCCUUCAACUACAGGCAGGGUCCUCUAACCGAAGUUGAUCACCAGCUACCGGCAACUUGGACUGCCUAUCUCAGUAUGCGUCAGGAGAUCCGAGACCCACAGGUGCAUCAUCAACUGCAGAAAGAUCUGAUUGAGCACCUAUGGAGGCUCAAGGGGGACGCCGUGUGAUGAAAUACGAGUUUUUAUUUGUUGAACUAUAUAAUUUUUAUUGAACUAUUUGUUGUUGUACUAUUUUGUUGAAGUAUUUGAUUUUUCUAUGAUGAAAUAUGUGGCAAGAAAAAAUUGUGUUGAUAAUUGAACGCCGAGACACGGUGAACCACGCCGAAUAUGGGUCUAUUCUCGCCCAUAUGGGCCCUUCAUUCGUCGAAAUGGGGCUGCAAAGUGGGCCAAUUUCGGCGCCUGGGGGCGAGCUGGGGGCGAUGACUGGGCGCAAAACCGCCCCCAGCGCCGAUUGUAUCGCCGGCUCGCCCCCAGGGGGCGAUUUUUAUGCGUCCUGGGGGGGUCAACGGCUGGAGAUGCUCUAACGGUUGCGCAAGUCCAUGGAGGGCUCCACCCACGAAGGGUCCACGAAGAAGCAACCUUGUCUAUCCCUCCAUGACCAUCGCCCACGAAGGACUUGCCUCACUAGGGUAGAUCUUCACGAAGUAGGCGAUCUUCUUACCCGUACAAACUCCUUGGUUCAACUCCACAAUCUUGUCGGAGGCUCCCAAGUGACAGCUAACCAAUCUAGGAGACACCACUCUCCAAAAGGUAAUAGACAGUGUGUUGAUGAUGAACUCCUUGCUCUUGUGCUUCAAAUGAUAGUCUCCCCAACACUCAACUCUUUCUCACUGAUUUGGAUUUGGUGGAAAGAAGAUUUGAGUGGAAAGCAACUUGGAGAAGGCUAGAGAUCAAGAUUCAUAUGGUUGGAAUGGAAUAUCUUGGUCUCAACACAUGAGUAGGUGGUUCUCUCUCAGAAAAUGAAUGUUAGAAGUGUAGGCAUGUUCUGAUAGCUCUCUCCAUGAAUGAAGAGUGGGUGAAGGGGUAUAUAUAGCCUCCACAUAAAAUCUAACCAUUACACACAAAUCACCAAACUUGGUGGGACCGAAUAAUGAAACUCGGUCAGACCGAUUUAGUUCAAAAUGUGAACAUUAGGCUUUUCGUUGGGACCGACAUGUCAACUCGGUGUGACCGAUUUCAUUAGAGUUAGGGCAUAAUGUAAUCUCGAUGAGACCGAUUACACAAACUCGGUGGGACCAAUUUUGGUAAUAAGCUAACCAGAGAGUUGGUCAGGCAAACUCGGUGGGACUGAUUCGCUCAUCUCGGUGAGAUCGAAACGUUAAGAAGGGGAAACAGAGAGUUUGCAUUGCGAACUCGGUGGGACCGAUCGCUCAUCUCGGCGAAAUGUUAUGAAGGGAAACAUUGAGUUUGCAAUCCCAUCUCGGUGAGACCAAGAUCCCUAUCGGUAAGACCGAAGUGACUAGGGUUUGUGGCAGUGGCUAUGUCAAAUGAACUUGGUGCGUCGGAUAGAACAUUUCGGUGGGGACGAGUUUGACUUUUGGUUUGGGACAUAUGUGGAUAUGAGAAAGUGGUUGAGGGCUUUGGAGCAUAUCACUAAGCAUUUUGAGCAAGCAAGCCAUUAAGCAACACCUCAUCCCUUUUAAUAGUAUUGACUUUUCCUAUGGACUCAAUGUGAUCUUGGAUCACUAAAAUGAAAAUGUAGAGUCUUGAGCUUGAGCCAAUGUGUGUUCUUAGCAUUUUGAGGGGUCCACAUUCCUAAUCCAUGCCAUGCCAAUCAUUGAACUUUCUGAAAUGAUCAUCUUGAAAUAGCAUUAGUUCAAUGAGCUAUAUGUUGUUAGUAAUUACCAAAACCACCUAGGGAUAGUUGCACUUUCAAUCUCCCCUUUUUGGUAAUUGAUGACAACAUAUAGAUUAAAGCUUCGAUAAAUGAUAAUAAGAUUUAAAGUACAUCGUCGCUUUGAGAAGUAUGUGAUAAGCAAGAGCUCCCCCUAAAUUUGUGCAUUAUUUAAAAUUUGCUUUUGAAUGCAAAUGCACAAUCGGUUAGGAUUAUGGGUUACUCUUCCAUGUCACAUACAUCUUGGUGGAGCGCUCAAAAUGAUAGGAAUUAAAACAUGCACUCAUCACCAAGCAAAGUGAAUGAUCAUAUAGGGAUAUAAGAGAUAAUAUCAUCCAGGCAAGCAUUAAAAUAGCAUAUGAUCAAACAAGUAUCUCACACAAACAUAGAGUAUCAACCAAGCACACAAUAAAGUUCAACCAAAAUCAAGAGAGACAAAGAAGCAAAAACACACUCUCUCUCGAAGCCUAUGAUCUAUACAUUUCUCCCCCUUUGGCAACAAGUUACCAAAAAGUUCAAAAAUGCAUAGUGCUAUGCAUCUCUCAGGCUUGGUCUUCGAGAGGUGGUGUAGAGAGAACUCCAAGGACGAAGGCAUCUGUUGAUGUAGUUGGAGCUGGUGGAGUGGGUUGCACUUUCAAUACCUACACGGGUUAGUCCCACAAAGAACAAACAAGGAUAUCCAUAGACAUAGAGUGAUGAUCACAUAAGAUGAUGUCCAUGAAAGCAUUAGGUUACCUUGUCCCUUGUCUUACCAACAAGAGGGUUUGUGACUCCUAGAACUAGUGCAAGAUGUGGAAGUUGUUUGCACAUGUCCUUGCCAAAAGAUAUGAGUGAAGUAUGUUGGCGUAGUCACCCUCAAGAACUCUCUAGUUCUUCUUCUUCGGGAUCCACAUCAUCUUGAUGGGAAUCCUUGGAGUUGUAGUUGUACUUGAUGUGGUAGAACUUGAUGUAGUCUUGGGAACCCACUUGACCAAGGCCUCGGGAGCUUCUUCAAAUGCAUCAAUCUCCUCUUGAAGCUUGUCCUUCCCUUUUAGCUUGUGGUCUUGUGGUGGAAGAUCAUCUUGAGCUUGUGUCCCUUGGAAUGAAGUAGGAUCAUACUUCUCUUGUUGAGGAACAAACUUCGUCUUGGGGUAUUGAUCUUCUUCCCACUCAACUUCAUUGGCAUUGAACUUCCAUUCAAAACCAACACCUUGAUUCUUCUGGUGUCUUCCUUGCUUGCGUACAAUUUCCUCAAAUUGCUUACUUCCGACAAGGCUCUUGUAAACACCUUUCUCUAUAAUUCCAUUUAAUAAGCUAUUUCCUUGCUCAAGUGUAAAUUGGCUAAGAGAAUCAUUAGUGGAAUCAAGAGAACUACUAGAAGCAACAAUAUUGGAUUUAACAUGAUUUUUGUUACUACCAGAAGAAGAACCUUUCUUACUCUUAUUGCUAGAUUUAACUUGUGGCAUGUAAGUAUACAAGAGUAAACGCUUGGCAAUGUAAGAAGAACUUUUCUUGCGAAGAUCAUCAUUGAUUGCCUUUAAGAACUCAUGCUCUUGCUCAAGGUUGAGCUUUUCAAAGCGUAAUUUCUCACGAGUCUUUAAAAGUUCUCGAUGAUCUUCCAAGGUAGUUUCAUGAGCUAACUUAAGAGUGUUUAGUUCUUUAGUCAGACGCUCAAUCUCCUUCUUAUAAUCGUCAUUUGUUUUAUAUUGAUUAUCAUGAUUAAUAGUAAGUUCAUCAUAGUUUUCAUAACUAUAGUUGUCAACAAGUAAAUCAUCAUCUUCUAGCAAAUCAUCUUCAUCACUAUUGAAAUCAACAUACUCGGGGUGUGAUACCUUUGGGCCUUUAGCCAUGAAGCAUAUUCCAAUUCCUUCAUUUGGUGAGUCAAAUAUGUCGUAGGAGUUGGUUGACACAAGUGCUAGAUCGGCAACACCUUCAUCUUGAGUUUAUUCGGAGUCGGAGUGAUAACUUCUCUCGGAGUGAUUGUCGGAGUCGGAGCCGGAUACCCAUUCACCAACAUGAGCUUGAUGUCUUCAUUUUGUGUAGCUCCUUGAUGAUUUGUCCUUCCUUCCUGAAUCAUUGCUUCUCCGUGAUGUUCUUCGUUCAUAAAGGUCAUCUCUACUCCUUCUCUCUCUAGGUGGUGAUUCUUCUCUUCUACUUCUCCUUUUGGGUGAAUCUUCUCUUCUUUUGUAGGGAGCCAUACACUCAUUGGAGUAGUGUCUGGGUCUUCCACAAUUGUAGCAAUUUCGUUCAUGACUUGAAGAUCUUUUUUCAUUGUAGGACCUUGACUUGGAACUUCUCUCCUUGCUUAUACUCUUGUAGAACUUGUUGAAGUUCUUCACCAUUAGGCUCAAUUCUUCAUUGAAGGUUUGUUUCUCACUUGAUGAUGUGGGAGCAUCACAUGAGGCUUUGUAAGCACCACUUGACUUGUUGUGAAGCUCUUCCUUAUCCUCGAGUGACAUCUCAUGAGCAACAAUUCUUCCAAUGACUUCUGUUGGCUUGAGAUCUUCGUAAUUGGGCAUCAUUUGAAUCAAUGUACACACGGUAUUAUAUUUUCCAUCCAAGGCUCUUAGGAUAUUCUUGAUGAUGAAUCUGUCGGUCAUCUCUUCACUUCCUAAGCCGCCAAUCUCAUUUGUGAUGAGAGCAAGCCUAGAGUACAUUCCAGCGACACCUUCACCAUCCUUCAUUUUGAACCUGUCAAGUUGACUUUGAAGCACAUCCAAUUUGGAUUCCUUGACGGAGUUGGUACCUUCGUCAUAUCAAUCAAAGUAUCCCAAAUUUCCUUUGCAUUCUCAAGACAGCUGAUUUUGUUGAAUUCUUUGGGGCACAAUCCGUUGAAGAGGAUAUCACAAGCCUGAGCAUUGUAUUGCAGCAUCUUCAACUCUUCCGCGGUAGCUUCACGGUUUGGUUCUCUCCCAUCAAAUAAUUUACCUUGCAAGCCAAUACACACAAUAGCCCAAACGGAGGGGUUAUGUCCAAGAAUAUGCAUUUUCAUCUUAUGCUUCCAACUAGCAAAAUUAGUACCAUCAAAGUAAGGACCUCUACGGUGGUAAUUUCCCUCACUAGACGCCAUACUCUCCUAGGUUGUGAAACCAAGGUUGUGAUCACCAAACGCUAUGGAAAUCAAGGCAAAUGGAGACCAAAGCUCUAAUACCACAUGUAGGAUCGAAAGUAUGUCUAGAGGGGGGGGGGUGAUUAGACUACUUGACCAAAUAAAAAUCUAGCCUUUUCCCAAUUUUAAGUCUUGGCGGAUUUUAGCAACUUAGCACUAGUCAAGCAAUCAACCUACACAUGCAAGUCUAAGAGUAUAUCAGCAGAAUGUAAAACAUUGCACAUCAAGGUAAAGGGAGGAGUUUGGAGGGAGCAAACGCAAUGUAGACACGGAGAUUUUUGGCGUGGUUCCGAUAGGUGGUGCUAUCGUACAUCCACGUUGGUGGAGACUUCAACCCAUGAAGGGUAACGGUUGCGCGAGUCCACGGAGGGCUCCACCCAUGAAGGGUCCACGAAGAAGUGAUACGUCUCCGUCGUAUCUACUUUUCCAAACACUUUUUCCCUUGUUUUGGACUCUAACUUGCAUGAUUUGAAUGGAACUAACCCGGACUGACGCUGUUUUCAGCAGAAUUGCCAUGGUGUUAUUUUUGUGCAGAAAUAAAAGUUCUCGGAAUGACCUGAAAAUCAACGGAGAUUAUUUUUGGAAUAUAUAAAAAAUACCGGUGAAAGAAUUAACGUCAGGGGGCCCACACCCUUUCCAUGAGGGUGGGGGGCACGCCUACCCCCCUGGGCGUACCCCUUGCCUCGUGGGCCCCCUGAUGCUCCUCCGACCUCAACUCCAACUCUAUAUAUUCGUGUUCGGGGAGAAAAAAUAUCAGACAGAAGGAUUCAUCGCGUUUUACGAUACGGAGCCGCCGCCAAGCCCUAAACUCUCUCGGGAGGGCUGAUCUAGAGUCCGUUCGGGGCUCCGGAGAGGGGAAUCCGUCGCCAUUGUCAUCAUCAACCUUCCUCCAUCACCAAUUUCAUGAUGCUCACCGCCGUGCGUGAGUAAUUCAAUCGUAGGUUUGCUGGACAGUGAUGGGUUGGAUGAGAUUUAUCAUGUAAUCGAGUUAGUUUUGUUAGGGUUUGAUCCCUAGUAUCCACUAUGUUCUGAGAUUGAUGUUGCUAUGACUUUGCUAUGCUCAAUGCUUGUCACUAGGGCCCGAGUGCCAUGAUUUCAGAUCUGAAUCUAUUAUGUUUUCAUGAAUAUAUGUGUGUUCUUGAUCCUAUCUUGCAAGUCUAUAGUCACCUAUUAUGUGUUAUGAUCCGUUUACCCCGAAGUGACAAUAAUCGGGAUACUUACCGAUGAUGACCUAGUUUGAGGAGUUCAUGUAUUCAUUAUGUGUUAAUGCUUUGGUUCGGUACUCUAUUAAAAGAGGCCUUAAUAUCCCUUAGUUUCCAAUAGGACCCCGCUGCCACGGGAGGGUAGGACAACUUGCUAGGGUUAGAGAGAAUGAAAUUAUUGAAACUGAUAAUAUUGAUGAAAAUGAUGAUGAAGAUUCUCCCCCUAGAUAUGAAUUGUCUAUUGUGCCUGAGGGUUAUGUUAUGGAUGAAGAAAUUGCUAGAGACUUCUUAGCUUAAAAUGAUAGAUCUGAUCUUAAGAAAUUAUUAGCUAAGCUUAAAGAAAACUCUUUGAAUGCUAGAAUGAAAUAUGACCCUGCUUUUACUACUUCACCUAUCUUUAUUAUCAAUAAGGAUCAUGAUUUCUCUGUCGAUCUGAGUUAAUUACUUUGGUUGAAUCUGAUCCUAUUUAUGGCUAUGAAUCUAAAACUAUCGUGGCACAUCUUACUAAAUUAAAUGAUAUAGCCACCCUGUUUACUCAUGAUGAGAAAGCUCGCUAUUACUUUAUCCUUAAGUUGUUUCCGUUCUCAUUAAAGGGUGAUGCUAAAACAUGGUUUAAUUCUCUUAAUCUUGGUUGUGUGCGUAGUCCCCAGGAUAUGAUUUAUUACUUCUCUGCUAAAUAUUCCCCCGCUCAUAAGAAACAACCUGCUUUAAGGGAAAUAUAUAAAUUUGUGCAAAUUGAAGAAGAGAGUCUCCCACAAUCUUGGGGGAGGCUUCCCGAUUACUUAAUGAUUUGCCUGAUCAUCCUCUCAAGAAAACUGAAAUAGUUGAUAUCUUUUAUAAUGGACUAACCAAUGCUUUCAGAGACCACCUGGAUAGUUGUGCUGGUUGUGUUUUCAAGGAAAGAUCUGUUGAUCAAGCUGAAUUGCUAUUGAAUAAUAUGUUGAGUAAUGAAAAUUAUUGGACACUUCCUGAACCACCUCCUAAGCCAACUCCAAAGAAAAGAGGCAUUCUAUUUCUCAGUCUUGAAGAUAUGCAAGAGGCAAAGAAAUCUAUGAAAGAAAAAGGUAUUAAAGCUGAAGAUGUUAAGAAUUUACCACCUAUUUAAGAAAUACAUGGUUUUGAUAACCCGACACAGGUAGUAAACGUAAAUUCUAUCUAUAGAUUUGAUGAAGGUGAUAUUCCUCGUUAUAAGUCUGCUAGCCUAUGCUUAGAUGAGUUUGAUAAUUUUAUGGUUAAACAAGAAGACUUCAAUGCUUAUGUUGGUAGACAAUUAAAACGCAAUGCUGAUAUGAUUGAACACUUGAGUGAUUAUAUGGCUAGUGUUAAGGGUGAACUUAAUCUUAUUAGUAAACAUGCUUCUAUGGUUACCACUCAAGUAGAACAAGUACUUAAAGCUCAGAAUGAUUUUCUCAAUGAACUAAAUAGUAAGAAUGAUGUCGUGGUGGGCGCACGGCAGAUGCCAAGGGAUGGCUAAGGAGAGGAGGAGGCUCAAGGGCGCUGGUGGACUCCAGAGGCGGGGUUGGCAUGAGCGGGCGCGGGAUGCCGGACAUACCCAGGUUCGAGGCUCUUCGGAGAGAUAAUACCCCUAGUCCUGCCGAGUGUAGUUGGAUGAUCCAUAGUACAAUGUUGCUCCUGGAGCUGUAUGGAGGAGGAAGGAAGCUAGCCAAGGCUUGGGCUGCUCCUUCUCUCCGGUGUUGCUGUUUUGUGGCUAGCCCUAUGCUCACUUGCUUUUCUCUCGUAUGUGUUUUUUGUUUGCCCUCUCGCUCGCCCUCCGGAGAGAUGAUUCCUUUCUCAUGAUCGUGGGCUCCCGGGGGGUUUUAUAGUCCAACCCCUCGGGGGUACAAUGGUAGUGUUACAAGUUGGUGGGUCCGUAUUGUUAGUGUCCGGGGACCCGGGCUGGGUCCCGUUGAGGGCUUGUGGUUCGCCGGGUUCCCCUAGGUGCGGGCCCCGCAUGCCUAGGGGGACUGUGCGCCGUCUUGUCGAUCGUCAGGGUGUGGCCGAGUCGAGUCACGUACAGUGCUCUCCGUCAGGUUGCCGCUUGCUGUCGUUAGCGGUGAGGGCGGGGGCACUGUAGCCACGCCGGCCCUGGUCAGCGAGUAGGUGAGGGGCACUGUUGCCACGUACCCGCUGACCAGAGGCAUGGGCGGGGCACUGUUGCCUCGGUCAUUGUUGAUUGAAGUCUCGUCCCCAUCAUACGGCCUGGAUGGGACGUGAGUUGACCCACGGCUAGAUUGCGUAGCACACCACGGGUGGCGCUGGCUUGUUGAGGAGGCUUUGGUCGUACCGGGUUCGGCUGUCUUGCGCUAGUUGUUGGGACCGAGUCGACGUGUCUUGCCGGGUCGGCUAGUCUGGCCAGCUUGCGGGGCUUGGCCGGGUCGAGCGACCCAGCCAAGCACGUGCCGGUAUUGAGGGGCGAUGCCAACCCCAUUGUUUUUUGAAGAGGAUCCGGGUUCCGUUGCCUGCCCGGGGUCCAUCCCUCCGACAGUAGUCCCCGAAGCUGUGAAGGUCCGUCGUCUUCAGAUGAGUGGGCCUUCACAGUUUCCCCCUUAAGAAAGGUGGAUUCUACGAGCGUCGGGUCCGGCAACACCCACUGUGUGCCGGUUUUCUCUGAAACCGGAUCGUGGCAUCUCGGCCGUGGCGGGAACCGAGAAGUCCGUCGAAUCUUGGGGCAAUCCCUCAGGCUUUGCGCGUAGCAAAGACAGAGCCAACUAGGAGGUGUUGAAUGGUUUCGUCAUGUUGGUUGCAAAGAGGGCAGGAGUACGUCCUGGUGAGGUAGUCCACGGCGGGCCAACUGGUCCGAUGUCCAGCAUCUGUUCUUGAGGGCAAGCCAGGCGAAAAAACAACACUGCAAGGGCGCCUUCGACUUCUAGGUGAACGUCGCUGAUAGGGAGACCACACGCCCCAUGAAACCUACGGCAUAGGCAGAUCUAGCCGAAAAUUGCCCGUCCUUCUCCCAUGACCAUGUCACCACAUCCUCAACGUCAUUCGUAAGCUGUCUUCCCGAGAUUAGGGGCCAUCAAGGCCUGAAUCUAUCAAUUGAAAUAAAGUACCUUGUUCGCAUUUUAUUGCGGCUCAUCCUCGCGGUUAGCCUACCGGCUACCGGCAAAUAGCCUGCAGAUCGGCGCUCGCCCACAGCCGUCCCUUCUCCGCUUCUCUUGAUGGUUGUGCGACAAAAAGUUGCGUAGAGAUCGCAUAGGCGAUAGCAGGCAGUGACUGGCGGCAGAUGUGAAUCUCAAUCGCAGCAGGCGACUGUGUAACGAAGCCAUAGCACGAACUGUGUGUGCGUGACCACGUGGCUGCGUGCAACUACCCGCUAAUUGGCCCCUUUGUCACCUAUGAUGGGCUGCGUAAGCGAUGAACAGUUGGGUAGCAGGAAAAAUAGCAAAAAAUUGAUUGCUAUUAACGAGGCGACGCGAUCGGUAGGGGGGUCUCGCCCCCCCCCCCCUCGUCCCUCCUUGAAUCCGUCCCUGCCCGUACCUUCAUUGGUCGUUGGGCAUGUCGUCAUCCACGGCUCCGUCCAUUGUGAAGGUGGAGCCGAUCAGAAGAGGAGUUCACGUAGUAGAUGGAGGAGGUGAUGCGCCGGUCGAUGACCGACCAUGGUCAGGCGCCGUCGUCGCCUCCGCUGAACCACGACAUCUAGAUCGGACGUCGCGUCAAGGAGGUGCCACCAUCCCCUCCGCACAAUCACGACAUCAAGAUCGGGCGUUGCGUCAGUCGUCCCCUAUGCAUAACCGCGGCUCACAUUGGACGUUGCGCCAAGGAGAAUCCAUCAUCUCCUCCGUGCAACUGUGGAGUCCAGAUCAAAUGCCGCAUCAAAGAGGAGUCGUCGUCCCCUCCGCACCGCCAGCCAGGCACACGACGCCCUAUCCUCCCAACUGUCAAGAAGGUGGAGCCGUCCUUCCUACUAUCGAAGCCGUCACCAUGGCUCCACUACUACCUCAAAAGGGGUCGGCGUCCAAGUGGCAAGGCGCCUGGUGGCAUUCGCAAGCCCCAUGUGGCGCCAACUUGGGUGCUCGUAGAGCUCACGCUUGCGAAGGAUUGGGCCCUUGAUCAGUCCAGUACCAGUGUACCACACCCUCGAGUCGGACACUCGCCGCUGUCAUCAGCGUCGGAUCAACACCCAACUCCUUCAAGUGGGGCUGGAGGAGUCUAAGCGAGCCAUCUGUCUCCAAACCGAGAACAAGCGGCGCAAGGCGACGACCAAAGAGGGAUGUCGCGAUGCCUGGAGGGCCUUCCACCACCGACGCCAUGACAACGACGACGACAACAACGGCGCAUGUGGCGGUGUCGACGAGGGCUUGGAUGACGGCGGGGGUGCUGGUGGCCUCGUAGGGAGUCGAGCCGGAUAUCCGCAGACAAGUUUUGAACGGUUUGCGGACAUUUGGUGAUGUCUAUGUGGUGAUCCGCGUUGGAGAUGCACGACAUGGCCGGAUAAUUUUGUCAAGUGCGCACGCAUGCGUUUUGCUAUAGUUGUAUCCUACCUAAAUUUCCAUUUUUGUACUUAUAGGUUAGCAACACUGGCGCAUGCCUGAACGUUAGAUGGUGGACAGCAAGACCCACCCAUGUUGCCGUGUAUUCAAGUGUUCCCCGUUGCUUUCAAAAUGCUACGCGGUCCAUGGUACGUACGCGGAGGCAGACAUUACAUUAAGCACCAAAAAUAGAAGAUCGCCGCAUUCAAUCAUCCGAUCUAGCGUAGCGUAGCUGGGUCGGGGCGGUGUUGACAUGUGUGCAGCUGGGUUGGGCAGGGACACGGCGUCACUGCCCCCCCAUCAGGGCAUUAUGGUGUCCAUCCCUGAUGCUGAUGGCGAUGCAUCACUGCUACUCGUGCACACGGCACGGCGUGUUUUCUUGGACCAGAUCUCCCAAGCGUAUGAUGGAUGCGUCGCCCAACGCUCGAUGAGAAGCACUGGAUCAAAGCACAAGGCAAACCUUUUUUGUUUCUCUGGCUCGUUGGCGGGGCGGUAGAGUAUAUUUCACAAAAAUACUACGUAUCACAAUUCAGGCAACCCUCCCUCGAACUAUCACUUAUCACUUACCGGGCAUCUCCAACGGCGACCAGCAAAUUUCUUCUGGCAUCCAUCCGCGGACAGGGAAGAGUUAGUCCACGGACAUGGAUGCGAGAUGCUGCCAUCCAACUGUGCCCGUAUACGGUUUAAACAAUUUUUCAGCAAACCAGAUAAAAUUCAUGCAAACAUGACACGAUUUCAUAUAAAAAUGUCAGAUUUUAUACAAACACGGCGCACUUUCAUUAGAUUUUGAACAUUUAGAAGAAAAACGACCCGAUCCUAAACCUAUCCUGCGGCGGUGGCGCCCGGCGUCCAAGCCCUUCCCGUCCUCCAUCCAUCGUCUUUAUGACCACUAGCGAUAAGACCGAUGAAGUGAAGCUGCAAUCUAAGGCGAGGAAGAGAAGAACGAGACGGACCGGCUCACAUGAGACACAAGGCCCUGCCGUCUUCCAUGCCCUACUCAUCCUCGGAGGAGUCCGUGCCUUGAACGUCGCCGGUGGACAUGAGGUCCACGAUGGAAAUGGUGGCGCCUGCGCUGUCGUCGUCCCACCGGGCCGCCGGACGGUUCGCCAGCGACGCGUCGGAGGCGCAACUGGUGUUGUUCUCCUCCGCGACCUCCUGGAGCUGCGCCUCCGCGGUGGUCGCUUCCUGGUGAGUAACGGCUUGAGCGCGGACGACAUCAUAGAUGGCAAGCUGCUUCGCAUCGAAGUUGGGGUUCGUCGCGGCCAUGGCCGCCACGGCCUCCUCGCCCGUGCGCUCGCCGUAGAUCUGGCCCUCCACCAGCCGGUGAUGCUCCAGGAGAAACAUGCUACACCGAUGUUCCUCCGGCGCCUGCUGGAACGCCGACAUAGGCGCCGGUGCAGGCUGCACCUCCGUCGUGGUGGCGUUAUAGUGUGCCUGCUCCAUGGUGAAGUCGGCGCGGGAGCCAAGGCGCUGUCGUCGGAACCCGUCUCCAUCGUGGUGUCGUCUUCGUCGUCGAAGACCUCGGGCGAGCUGGCCGGCAAGCCGGCCUUGAUUUGCCUGGCACAACGGCUCUGGUAGGCGGCGACAAGGGUGACCACCACAUGCUUCAUCUUUACGGAAAGGCUCGCCCAUAGAGCUUCGUCGCCUGUAGUCAUGGCGGAUGCAGUGCAAGAGACGAGGAUUGGGAGAGGGCUUGUGUUGUGGCAUGGAGUAGCCGGGUGUGGCCGCCUUUAAAUAGCGGAUUCCGGUGAGGCCAGACUUACGGGUGCUCAAUGUGCGGUCGAAGUGUGUUUCUCGGCCGGCGAACCUGCUUAAUGACGGCAUACGGACGGACAGGGCAUUGAACGUGCGUGAUAGAUAUACGUCUCAUCCUGCCCAGUAAUGUGUCUCUGGCUGAACAGGCGCGGGCACCGGAGACGCGUCACGGGCAGCGCCCUCGGCCGGCGUGCUGCUUCAAUUGGCGGAUGCAAUGAGAGGUCGCUUCCGUCCUGAGCCGUCUUUAAUGUGGAGCGGUGCGCUCUACAACGACAUGAAUGCGGUCGAGGAAGGAAAGGAUUUGGUGGGUCAGGAUGGUUAGAAGCAGGCGCAGGAGCAAUCCGGACUCCCGCAAAACCCCCCACAUUUGUCUCCGGUAUGUGAGAGAAAACGCGUCCAAGCUAUCAUGCAAAUCGAUACAGAUCUAUGUUAAAUGGUUUCCGCUAUUCGAACGGACGUGAACGAUUUGUGGAUCGGCUUUAGAGAUGCCUUACAAUUUUUGUCGGAGCAAGAACUCAGUGACAUAGGACCAGCCGUCCACGAACAAUCUCCCGUCACAGUGGUGUAGUCCGCGCGCGUCAUCACGCGCUGCCUGGAAACCAUCUGUUUUUUUUUAUACAUCCAUUUCUUUAAUAAGUAUUUUCAGACGGAAGGAGUAAUAAAGAGAACUUCCUUUCUAAUUUUCAUUUAACUGAAACCAUCUGUCCUUUUACAGUUUGAGAAAUCAAGAAAUAGUGUUGCGUCUGAUAAUGACAGACCUUGUGUUGUUGUUAACAUGAUUGCUACUCCCUCCGUUCCAUAUUAUCCGUCGCUGAUUUAGUACAAAGUUGUACUAAAGCGACAAGUAAUAUGAAAUGAAGGGAGUAGAUAAUGAUUUAACGAUUGGGUGAUUUUGCAGAAAAAACAGGAAAAUCAAGAGUGUUCGAAACGGAUAGUAAGUGAAGUCUUCAAAACGGUAUAUGGUUCUGAAGUGCUGCUGCUUCUUCCCUAUAGUACGUCUGUUACAGUACCUCUGCUAUAGACUUCAUGUGCUGGCGUUUUAGGGAAUGUUUUGUUGGCAAUGUACUACUCCCUCCGUCCCAUAAUGUAAGACUUUUUUUGACUUAAAAAAAAAAACGUCUUACAUUAUGGAAUGAAGGAAGUAAUGUAUAGUUUUUGGUACUUGCUCAUGGUUGCAGAGGCAGUGUCUGACUUGUUGCCUGU
rnacentral:lncRNA from 1 species